GGGUUAGGGUUAGGGUUAGGGUUGGAGCUAGGGUUAGGGUUAGGGUUAGGGUUGGAGUUAGGGUUAGUGUUGGAGCUAGGGUUAGGGUUGGGCUUGGAGCUAGGAUUUUUCUGAGUGCAAUGAACCAACUCCCGAGUCUCUAGGACGUUCCUAAAAAAAUUAGAUUUUUUCCCAUAGGAAUGCAUGGGUUAGGGUUAGGGUUAGGGUUGGAGCUAGGGUUAGGGUUGGAGCUAGGGUUAGGGUUAGGGUUGGAGUUAGGGUUAGUGUUGGAGCUAGGGUUAGGGUUGGGCUUGGAGCUAGGAUUUUUCUGAGUGCACUGAACCAACUCCCGAGUCUCUAGGACGUUCCUAAAAAAAAUUUGAUUUUUUCCCAUAGGAAUGCAUGGGUUAGGGUUAGGGUUAGGGUUGGAGCUAGGGUUAGGGUUAGGGUUAGGGUUGGAGUUAGGGUUAGUGUUGGAGCUAGGGUUAGGGUUGGGCUUGGAGCUAGGAUUUUUCUGAGUGCACUGAACCAACUCCCGAGUCUCUAGGACAUUCCUAAAAAAAUUGAUUUUUUCCCAUAGGAAUGCAUGGGUUAGGGUUAUGGUUAGGGUUAGGGUUGGAGCUAGGGUUAGGGUUAGGGUUAGGGUUGGAGUUAGGGUUAGUGUUGGAGCUAGGGUUAGGGUUGGGCUUGGAGCUAGGAUUUUUCUGAGUGCACUGAACCAACUCCCGAGUCUCUAGGACGUUCCUAA